rnacentral:rRNA from 1 species
AGUGAACGCUGGCGGUAGGCCUAACACAUGCAAGUCGAACGGAAGCACAGUAAGAGCUCGCCCUUAAGGGUGGCGAGUGGCGGACGGGUGAGGCAUAGAUCGGAAUCUACUUUUUCGUGGGGGAUAACGUAGGGACACUUACGCUAAUACAGCAUACGUCGUACGGGAGAAAGCAGGGGAUCUUCGGACCUUUCGCGUUUGAAUGAGCUGAUGUCGGAUUAGCUAGUUGGCGGGGUAAAGGACCACCAAGGCGACGAUCCGUAGCUGGUCUGAGAGGAUGAUCAGCCACACUGGAACUGAGACACGGUCCAGACUCCUACGGGAGGCAGCAGUGGGGAAUAUUGGACAAUGGGCGCAAGCCUGAUCCAGCCAUGCCGCGUGGGUGAAGAAGGCCUUCGGGUUGUAAAGCCCUUUUGUUGGGAAAGAAAAUCAGCGUGUUAAUACCCCGCUGUUCUGACGGUACCCAAAGAAUAAGCACCGGCUAACUUCGUG